rnacentral:rRNA from 1 species
UACGGAGGGAGCUAGCGUUAUUCGGAAUUACUGGGCGUAAAGCGCACGUAGGCGGCUUUGUAAGUAAGAGGUGAAAGCCCAGAGCUCAACUCUGGAAUUGCCUUUUAGACUGCAUCGCUUGAAUCAUGGAGAGGUCAGUGGAAUUCCGAGUGUAGAGGUGAAAUUCGUAGAUAUUCGGAAGAACACCAGUGGCGAAGGCGGCUGACUGGACAUGUAUUGACGCUGAGGUGCAAAAGCGUUGGGGGAGCAAACAGG